rnacentral:rRNA from 1 species
GAGUUUGAUCCUGGCUCAGAACGGACGCUGGCGGCGUGGAUAAGACAUGCAAGUCGAACGGGAGAAUUGCUAGCUUGCUAAUAAUUCUCUAGUGGCGCACGGGUGAGUAACACGUGAGUAACCUGCCCCGAGAGCGGGAUAGCCCUGGGAAACUGGGAUUAAUACCGCAUAGUAUCGAAAGAUUAAAGCAGCAAUGCGCUUGGGGAUGGGCUCGCGGCCUAUUAGUUAGUUGGUGAGGUAACGGCUCACCAAGGCGAUGACGGGUAGCCGGUCUGAGAGGAUGUCCGGCCACACUGGAACUGAGACACGGUCCAGACACCUACGGGUGGCAGCAGUCGAGAAUCAUUCACAAUGGGGGAAACCCUGAUGGUGCGACGCCGCGUGGGGGAAUGAAGGUCUUCGGAUUGUAAACCCCUGUCAUGUGGGAGCAAAUUAAAAAAGAUAGUACCACAAGAGGAAGAGACGGCUAAACUCUGUGCCAGCAG